UUAAAUUUACAAGCCAUUACCAAAAGUCUUCCGGAUAGUGUGACUGAGCCUUCGACCUAUCCCGACCCCUGAGCUGGCUUGUCCAAAACUACAAUGAGUAAGAAGGAGGGAGUAAGCAUAAAUGCUUAGUAAGUUCAUAUGCAAAUAAUAAGUAACAUAACAAACAGUCAUACCAAUCAACAUUAGCAUGUAUCACAAAAACCCAUAUCACAUUUUUAAUCAUUUUUCAUCAUCUUAUUACCUUAUCGUGGUUGUAUCAAUACUCAACCCGAGGGUUAAAUACAUACCUGUCCAAAAUAUCCAUUUCAUAUCACUUACCAAUACGUCUCUUUACAUCUCGACUAUUCCUCCAUUUGAGUAGAACUUUACCCGUUGAACACAUCGGAAUAUAAUUCGGAUACAUGGAUAACUUGCACAUAAGUGCCAUAUAUGCAAUCAAGCAAUCAUGUAACCCGCCCAUAAGCGAACUCGGACUCAACUCAACGAGCUCGGGCGUUCGCAUCCAUAAGUGAACUCGGACUCAACUCAACGAGUUUGGAUGCCUAGUUACAUCUCACGAACUCGGACUCAACUCAACGAGUUCGGACAUUCGCAUCCAUAAGUGAACUCGGACUCAACUCAACGAGUUCGGAUGCUCAACCAUCCUAGUGACAUGUCACUUGUAUCCUAAUCUAUUCCUAAGGUUCAAACGGGCUUUUUCCUCGAACACUUAUCCUUGCCGUCUUCCGUAGAAUGCCGAAAUCAAUACUCGGUAACAAUUAUAUUUAACAAGUAGUUCACAUAAUUUAAAUAUUAUUUGAAAUUAACCACAAAGCAUACAUUUCAUAAUAAAAUUCAGCAUAACAUAUAAUUAACAUUAAUAACUUAAAAAUAACCAUUAUGCUACAUUAUUUACACAUGAACUUACCUUGGUACCAAAAUACAAAGAUUUUGCAAUUUAGUCCACAAUCUUUUCUUUUCCUCGAUUGAGGUCGAUUCCACGUCUUUCUUGAUUAUGGAGCUUGGAAGCUUGAAACAAACCCUAGCUAUGGAGGACCCUUGAAAUUUC
rnacentral:lncRNA from 1 species